AGCGAACGCUGGCGGCAGGCUUAACACAUGCAAGUCGAGCGGGCGUAGCAAUACGUCAGCGGCAGACGGGUGAGUAACGCGUGGGAACAUACCUUUUGGUUCGGAACAACACAGGGAAACUUGUGCUAAUACCGGAUAAGCCCUUACGGGGAAAGAUUUAUCGCCGAAAGAUUGGCCCGCGUCUGAUUAGCUAGUUGGUAGGGUAAUGGCCUACCAAGGCGACGAUCAGUAGCUGGUCUGAGAGGAUGAUCAGCCACAUUGGGACUGAGACACGGCCCAAACUCCUACGGGAGGCAGCAGUGGGGAAUAUUGGACAAUGGGCGCAAGCCUGAUCCAGCCAUGCCGCGUGAGUGAAGAAGGCCUCGG
rnacentral:rRNA from 1 species